rnacentral:rRNA from 1 species
AGCUGAGGGGUUCCACCUGUUCUCAUUCCGAACACAGAAGUUAAGCCCUCAUACACCGACAGUACUGUGCCGGCGACGGCAUGGGAGGAUAGGCAGCUGCCG